CCUACGGGAGGCAGCAGUGGGGAAUAUUGGACAAUGGGCGAAAGCCUGAUCCAGCAAUGCCGCGUGAGUGAUGAAGGCCUUAGGGUUGUAAAGCUCUUUUACCAGGGAUGAUAAUGACAGUACCUGGAGAAUAAGCUCCGGCUAACUCCGUGCCAGCAGCCGCGGUAAUACGGAGGGAGCUAGCGUUAUUCGGAAUUACUGGGCGUAAAGCGUACGUAGGCGGUUAUUCAAGUCAGAGGUGAAAGCCCGGGGCUCAACCCCGGAACUGCCUUUGAAACUAGAUAACUAGAGUCUUGGAGAGGUUAGUGGAAUUCCGAGUGUAGAGGUGAAAUUCGUAGAUAUUCGGAAGAACACCAGUGGCGAAGGCGACUAACUGGACAAGUACUGACGCUGAGGUACGAAAGCGUGGGGAGCAAACAGGAUUAGAUACCCUGGUAGUCCACGCCGUAAACGAUGAUAACUAGCUGUCCGGGCACUUGGUGCCUGGGUGGCGCAGCUAACGCAUUAAGUUAUCCGCCUGGGGAGUACGGUCGCAAGAUUAAAACUUAAAGAUAUAGACGNGNGAGNGCGACGACGACGACGAGAGGAGAG
rnacentral:rRNA from 1 species